rnacentral:rRNA from 1 species
AUUGAACGCUGGCGGCAGGCCUAACACAUGCAAGUCGAACGAGUGGCGGACGGGUGAGUAAUGUCUGGGAAACUGCCUGAUGGAGGGGGAUAACUACUGGAAACGGUAGCUAAUACCGCAUACCAUCGGAUGUGCCCAGAUGGGAUUAGCUAGUAGGUGGGGUAACGGCUCACCUAGGCGACGAUCCAUAGCUGGUCUGAGCGGAUGACGAGCAACACGGGAACUGAGACACUGUCCAGAUCCGUACGGGAGGCAGCAGUGGGGAAGAUUGCACAAUGGGCGCAAGCCUGAUUCAGCCAAGCCGCGUGUAUGAAGAAGGCCUUCGGGUUGUAAAGUCCUUUCAGCGGGGAGGCGUUACCCGCAGAAUAAGCACCGGCUAACUCCGUGCCAGCAGCCGCGGUAAUUC